rnacentral:ncRNA from 1 species
UUUCCCUCAGGAUAGCAGAAACUCACAAAGCAGUUGUAUGGGGUAAAGUGAAUUGCUAGAGGCCUUGAGGGGAAUGUCCUUAAUCUAUUCUCAAACUUUAAAUAUGUAAGAUGCCAUUCCUUCUUAUUUUUUUUUUUUUGAAUCUUACCAAUGGUUUGAAAACACAGUACAGAAUCC